AGUGAACGCUGGCGGUAGGCCUAACACAUGCAAGUCGAACGGCAGCCCCGUAAGAGCUUGCUUUUACGGGUGGCGAGUGGCGGACGGGUGAGGAAUACAUCGGAACCUACUUUUUCGUGGGGGUUAACGAAGGGAAACUUACGCUAAUGCCGAAUACGACCUACGGGUGAAAGCAUGGGAUCUUUGGACCUUUCGCGAUUGAAUGAGCGGGUGUCGGAUUAGCUAGUUGGUGGGGUAAUGGCCCACCGUGGCGAGGAUCCGUAGCUGGACUGAGAGGAUGGUCGGCCACACUGGAACUGAGACAGGGUCCUGACGCCUGCGGGAGGCAGCAGUGGGGAAUAUGGGGCAGUGGGCGGAAGCCUGACACAGCCAUACCGAGUGUGUUACGGAGGCCUUCGGGGUGUAAAGCCCGUUUGUUGGGAAAGAAAAGCUGUAGGUUAAGACCCCGCUGGUCUGACGGUACCCAAUGAAGAAGCACCGGCUAACUUCGUG
rnacentral:rRNA from 1 species